rnacentral:rRNA from 1 species
CCUACGGGGUGCAGCAGUGGGGAAUAUUGGGCAAUGGAGGCAACUCUGACCCAGCAACGCCGCGUGAAUGAUGAAGGUCUUCGGAUUGUAAGUUUUGUUAUGGGGGGUGAAAACAAUGACCGUACCCCAAUUGCAAGCCCCGGCCAACUACGUGCCAGCCGCCGCGGUAAUACGUAGGUGGCAAGCGUUAUCCGGAAUUACUGGGCGUAAAGGGUGCGUAGGUGGGUUAGUAAGUUGGCGGUGUAAUUCCGGGGCUCAACCUCGGCGCUACCGCCAAAACUAUUAGACUAGAGUGCAGGAGGGGUAAGUGGAAUUCCUAGUGUAGCGGUGGAAUGCGUAGAUAUUAGGAGGAACAUCAGGGGCGAAGGCGACUUACUGGACUGUAACUGACACUGAGGCACGAAAGCGUGGGGAGCAAACAGGAUUAGAUACCCUUGUAGUC